GGAGGGUUGGCAGAGCGGUCGAAUGCGGCGGACUUGAAAUCCGUUGGCCCGCAAGGGCCCGGGGGUUCGAAUCCCUCACCCUCCGCCA
rnacentral:tRNA from 1 species